rnacentral:rRNA from 1 species
AGGUUGAGAUUCCUGUACUACAGUAUGACAGAACUGUGGGGACGCAGAAGGAGAGCACUACCUGGAAUGGAAUCCAGGGGCAAGCACAGGAGGGGUACGGCUGGAAAAACCGCCGUGCAACCCAAAGGUGUGACGCAUACCGAACUAAAGUAGGGAAAUGUGUGAGCCGGCUGCCGAGAAAAGCCGCUAUUGUUUGUACUGUACCCGUACCGUAAACCGACACAGGUGGAUGAGGAGAGAAUCCUAAGGCCGACGGAAGAAGCAUUGCUAAGGAACUCGGCAAAAUGACCCUGUAACUUCGGGAGAAAGGGUGCCUCGAAAGAGGCCGCAGAGAAUAGGCCCAAGCAACUGUUUAGCAAAAACACAGGUCUAUGCAAAACCGCAAGGUGAAGUAUAUGGGCUGACGCCUGCCCGGUGCUGGAAGGUUAAGGGGAGAUGUCAGGAGACGAAGCAUCGAACUUAAGCCCCAGUAAACGGCGGCCGUAACAAUAACGGUCCUAAGGUAGCGAAAUUCCUUGUCGGGUAAGUUCCGACCCGCACGAGAGGCGUAAUGAUUUGGGCGCUGUCUCGGCAAUGCAUCCGGUGAAAUUGAAGUGCCAGUGAAGAUGCUGGCUACCCGCGCCAGGACGGAAAGACCCCAUGGAGCUUUACUCCAGCUUGAUACUGGGAUUCGGUAUUGUAUGUACAGGAUAGGUGGGAGGCUGAGAAAUGGUGACGCCAGUCGCCAUGGAGCCGCUGUUGGGAUACCACCCUUGCAGUACUGGAUUUCUAACCAGCAGCCGUGAUCCGGCUGGGGGACAAUGUCAGGUGGGGAGUUUGACUGGGGCGGUCGCCUCCGAAAGGGUAUCGGAGGCGCUCAAAGGUUCCCUCAGAAUGGUCGGAAACCAUUCGAAGAGUGCAAAGGCAGAAGGGAGCUUGACUGCGACACCGACGGGUGGGGCAGGUACGAAAGUAGGACUUAGUGAUCCGGUGGUAUUAAGUGGGAAUGCCAUCGCUCAACGGAUAAAAGCUACCCUGGGAUAACAGGCUUAUCACUCCCAAGAGUUCACAUCGACGGAGUGGUUUGGCACCUCGAUGUCGGCUCAUCGCAUCCUGGGGCUGUAGUAGGUCCCAAGGGUUGGGCUGUUCGCCCAUUAAAGCGGUACGCGAGCUGGGUUCAGAACGUCGUGAGACAGUUCGGUCCCUAUCCGGCGUGGGCGUAGGAUAUUUGAGAGGAGCUGACCUUAGUACGAGAGGACCGGGUUGGACUGACCUCUGAUGCACCGGUUGUCAUGCCAAUGUCACAGCCGGGUAGCCAAGUCGGGAAGGGAUAAACGCUGAAGGCAUCUAAGCGUGAAGCCCCCCUCAAGAUGAGAUAUCCCCCGCAUAAGCGGUAAGACCCCUUGAAGACGACGAGGUAGAUAGGGCAGAGGUGGAAGUGCAGUAAUGUAUGGAGCUGACUGCUACUAAUAGGUCGAAGGCUUAACC